rnacentral:rRNA from 1 species
CUGGCGGCGUGCCUAAUACAUGCAAGUCGAGCGAACAGACGAGGAGCUUGCUCCUCUGACGUUAGCGGCGGACGGGUGAGUAACACGUGGAUAACCUACCUAUAAGACUGGGAUAACUUCGGGAAACCGGAGCUAAUACCGGAUAAUAUAUUGAACCGCAUGGUUCAAUAGUGAAAGACGGUUUUGCUGUCACUUAUAGAUGGAUCCGCGCCGCAUUAGCUAGUUGGUAAGGUAACGGCUUACCAAGGCAGCGAUGCGUAGCCGACCUGAGAGGGUGAUCGGCCACACUGGAACUGAGACACGGUCCAGACUCCUACGGGAGGC